rnacentral:lncRNA from 1 species
UCGCGUGAAGAGCUGCCGCCACCGCCGCUUGCUCUCAUAGUUCCACCAGAUCCGAUUUUGUCCAAAGGCUUCUUCUUGCCUUUGUUCACGUCAGACACGAAACGGUCCAGACCGAAAGGAUCUUGUUCUUCCUUCUCGAACUCCACAGGUCGUUCUCUCUUGCCCGACCUCUCGGAAGCACCGGUGAAAGCUCUGUCUGGUUUGAACCUCUCGGUGUUCUUGAGCUUAUCGAGCUGCUCGUCUGCGUUUCCGUACAUUUCUUCAUCCGUAUCCUUCUUAGGCUUGUAGAGCGUUGAGAGAGUGGGUUGUGCUGUGAACAAGCCUUUGUCGUAUACGUUGUACUGGUCGUCUGUUGCGAAACCUGAAUCCAUUCCCUUCUCUUGGUUGAAGAGACGUUGAUCGUACAUAACUUCGCCGCCUUUGCCUCCUGUAGAGGCCAUUCCAAGAGCGACUUUCUCGCUGAUAUCACGGUCUCUGUCUCUCGUGAUCUUGCUCUUCUUCCCCAUGGCAGCAUCUUUAGCUUCCAACCUUCUCUCCCUUUCUCUGGAGCCUUCUUACUACUAAAACAUAAACACUGAAUCAAAAGCAGAGUAUCCAAAUAAAAACUGAACCAUGUGUUGGAAUCGAAAGAUCAGCAGUGCUGAGACGUUUUAACGAUCACCACGUUCGAAAUUGAUUUUGGUUCGACCAGAACCACCAUAGUCAUCGCGUGAAGAGCUGCCGCCACCGCCGCUUGCUCUCAUAGUUCCACCAGAUCCGAUUUUGUCCAAAGGCUUCUUCUUGCCUUUGUUCACGUCAGACACGAAACGGUCCAGACCGAAAGGAUCUUGUUCUUCCUUCUCAAACUCCACAGGUCGUUCUCUCUUGCCCGACCUCUCGGAAGCACCGGUGAAAGCUCUGUCUGGUUUGAACCUCUCGGUGUUCUUGAGCUUAUCGAGCUGCUCGUCUGCGUUUCCGUACAUUUCUUCAUCCGUAUCCUUCUUAGGCUUGUAGAGCGUUGAGAGAGUGGGUUGUGCAGUGAACAAGCCUUUGUCGUAUACGUUGUACUGGUCGUCGGUUGCGAAACCUG